rnacentral:ribozyme from 1 species
AAAAAAGAAGAAGAAAAAAAAAAUUCUAAAACCAUUUUUUGUUUUUGUUUUUUCUUCUUCUCCUUUCCCUGGAACCUUUUAAUUACU